CCUACGGGAGGCAGCAGUGAGGAAUAUUGGUCAAUGGUCGGGAGACUGAACCAGCCAAGCCGCGUGAGGGAGGAAGGUACAGAGUAUCGUAAACCUCUUCUGUCAGGGAACAAAGACUGGUACGUGUCCCCGGAUGAGUGUACCUGAAGAAAAAGCAUCGGCUAACUCGGUGCCAGCAGCCGCGGUAAUACGGAGGAUGCGAGCGUUAUCCGGAUUUAUUGGGUUAAAGGGGUGCGAAGGCGGUCUGUUAGGUCAGAGGUCAAGGCCCGGGGCGCAACCCCGGCCCGCCGUUGAAACUGGCAGUCUCGAGUUGGAGAGAGGUAUGCGGAAUGCGCGGUGUAGCGGUGAAAUGCAUAGAUA
rnacentral:rRNA from 1 species